GAUCAAUGAUGAAAAUAGCCAGAUCAGAACAUCAGAAGCUCUUCAGUCUACCUGAUGUAUGAUCUUUAAUUCUGAGA
ensembl:snoRNA